AUACGUAGGGGGCGAGCGUUGUCCGGAAUUAUUGGGCGUAAAGGGUGCGUAGGCGGCAUGGCAAGUCCUGUGUGAAAGGUCGCGGCUUAACCGCGGUGGGUCAUGGGAAACUGCCACGCUUGAGUGCCGGAGAGGAUAGCGGAAUUCCACGUGUAGCGGUGAAAUGCGUAGAUAUGUGGAGGAACACCUGUGGCGAAGGCGGCUAUCUGGAAGGUAACUGACGCUGAGGCACGACAGCUGGGGGAGCAAACAGGAUUAGAUACCCUGGUAGUCCCAGCCGUAAACGAUGAGUGCUAGGUGUUGCGGGUAUCGACCCCUGCAGUGCCGAAGUCAACACAAUAAGCACUCCGCCUGGGGAGUACGGCCGCAAGGCUGAA
rnacentral:rRNA from 1 species